AUAGCGUAUAUUAAAGUUGUUGCAGUUAAAAGCUCGUAGUUGAACUUCAGACCUGGCUGUGUGGUCCGCUUAACGGCGUGUACUGUGCGGCUGGGUCUUACCUCUUGGUGAGCCGGCGUGCCCUUUAUUGGUGUGCGUCGGGGAACCAGGACUUUUACCUUGAGAAAAUUAGAGUGUUCAAAGCAGGCCUAUGCCCGAAUACAUUAGCAUGGAAUAAUAAAAUAGGACGUGCGGUUCUAUUUUGUUGGUUUCUAGAGUCGCCGUAAUGAUUAAUAGGGAUAGUUGGGGGCAUUGGUAUUGAGUCGCUAGAGGUGAAAUUCUUGGAUUGACUCAAGACCGACUAUUG
rnacentral:rRNA from 1 species